ACGUCGAUCCAGACUUCGUUCAAACGACCCGACAGGUGACGUGACGAAUUAUACUGAGCAACGGUGUAUUCUGAGAUGGCUGAACUCUUAGAAAACCUCCUGACUGCUAAGCAAUUGCUUCUCCACUUCUCAAACUGAACAUUGAGUUCAGAAUUGGGCAGCGGCGGGUUUUCGGUAUACAUAGAAGGAAGAUAAUACCUAACCAAGCGCUCGGGGCCACGCGUCGAUGCCAUAAUGGUCGUCGUGACAGGAGAAGUGAUAAGAAAGUGAGAAGAGUUGCUAUUAGCACCAUGAAUGUAUUGAUACAAUCUGAUGCCAACCAAUACAAGAGAUUAUUAGUUCAAAUCAGAAGGAAAAUCCCACCACAUUUUCUUGGUGGAAUUUUCUUGGUGGAAUUUUCUUGGUGGAAUUUUCUUGGCAACCAAACGGAAAAUAGCAACUUAUACCUGUGGAAGCCUUGCUGGGUGGACUUCUCAAAGGAGGCUGUUCCUUGGACAAGAGCUGAUACCCAUGAGACUUGUUUAUACUGUCUAAUCUCAAAUUCUGCCUCCACAUGAAUCACAUUAUAAUGUGGAGAUUCAAUCACUCUGCCUGAGCUACAACAAAAGAAGCAUAUUGUUAGAGCAAAGUUGAUCACUAUCUUACCGUUCAUCCU